rnacentral:rRNA from 1 species
GCGCGAAACCUUUACAAUGCACGCAAGUGUGAUAGGGGAAUCCCAAGUGCUUAUGUUAUGCAUAGGCUUUUGCCAAGAGUAAACAUCUUGGCGAAUAAGUGAUGGGUAAGACUGGUGCCAGCAGCCGCGGUAACACCAGCGUCACGAGUGGCAACCAUAUUUAUUGGGCCUAAAGCGUCCGUAGCCGGUUUGAUAAGUCUUUUGUGAAGUCGUUGAGCUUAACUUAACGCUGUGCAAGAGAUACUGUCCAACUAGGAACUGGGAAGAGUCAGAGGUAUUCUGUGGGGAGCGGUAAAAUGCUAUAAUCCUCAGAGGACCACCAGUGGCGAAAGCGUCUGACUAGAACAGAUUCGACGGUGAGGGACGAAAGCCAGGGGAGCAAAACGGAUUAGAUACCCGAGUAGUCCUGGCCGUAAACGCUGCGAGCAAGGCGUCACAUAUCCUUCGUGGAUGUGUGGUGUCGAAGAGAAGUCGUUAAGCUCGCCGCCUGGGAAGUAUGGUCGCAAGGCUGAAACUUAAAGGAAUUGG